rnacentral:rRNA from 1 species
UACGUAGGGGGCUAGCGUUGUCCGGAAUCAUUGGGCGUAAAGCGCGCGUAGGCGGCCCGAUAAGUCUGCUGUGAAAUCCAGAUGGCUCAACCUCUGGCGGCCAGUGGAUACUGUCGGGCUAGAGUUCGGAAGAGGCGAGUGGAAUUCCUGGUGUAGCGGUGAAAUGCGCAGAUAUCAGGAGGAACACCAAUGGCGAAGGCAGCUCGCUGGAACGGUACUGACGCUGAGACGCGAAAGCGUGGGGAGCAAACAGG